rnacentral:rRNA from 1 species
GACGAACGCUGGCGGCGUGCCUAAUACAUGCAAGUCGAACGCAGAGGCGAGGAGCUUGCUCUUCUCUGGUGAGUUGCGCACGGGUGAGUAACGCGUGGGUAACCUGCCUUGUAGCGGGGGAUAACUAUGGGAAACGAUAGCUAAUACCGCAUAACAUUGGGUGCCACAUGUCAUUUAUUUGAAAGUGGCCAUUGCUGUACUACAUGGUGGACUUGCGUUGUAUUAGCUAGUAGGUGAGGUAAUUGCUCUCCUAGGCGGCGAUGGAGAGCCGGACUGAGAGGGUGGGUAGCCGCCCUGGGAGUGUGACCGGGCCCAGUGGCCCUCAGGAGGGAGCCAGAGGGAAACGUGAGGAAUGGGGGGAAAGCAUACCGAACAACGCCGCGGGAGGGAAGAAGGUUUUCGGGUCGGGAAGCUCUGUUGUCAGGCAAGAACCGGUUUGAGAGUGGAAAGUGCACUGAGUGACGGUAGCUGAUCAGAAAGCGACGGCUAACUACGUG